CCUACGGGAGGCAGCAGUGGGGAAUAUUGGACAAUGGGCGAAACCCUGAUGCAGCGACGCCGCGUGAGUGAAGAAGUAUUUCGGUAUUUAAAGCUUCAUUAGCAGGGAAGAAGAAAGACGGUACCUGACUAAUAAGCCCCGACUAACUACGUGCCAGCAGCCGCGCUAAUACGUAGGGGGCACGCGUUAUCCGGAUUUACUGGGUGUAAAGGGAGCGUAGACGGUUGUUCAAGUCUGUAGUGAAAGCCCAGGGCUCAACCCUAUGACUGCUUUGGAAACUGGGGAGCUAGAGUGCAGGAGAGGUAAGCGGAAUUCCUAGUGUAGCGGUGAAAUGCGUAGAUAUUAGGAGGAACACCGAUGGCGAAGGCAGCUUACUGGACUGUAACUGACGUUGAGGCUCGAAAGCGUGGGGAGCAAACAGGAUUAGAUACCCUGGUAGUC
rnacentral:rRNA from 1 species